CCUACGGGAGGCAGCAGUGGGGAAUUUUGGACAAUGGGCGCAAGCCUGAUCCAGCAAUGCCGCGUGCAGGAUGAAGGCCUUCGGGUUGUAAACUGCUUUUGUACGGAACGAAAAGGCUCUGGCUAAUACCUGGGGCUGAUGACGGUACCGUAAGAAUAAGCACCGGCUAACUACGUGCCAGCAGCCGCGGUAAUACGUAGGGUGCGAGCGUUAAUCGGAAUUACUGGGCGUAAAGCGUGCGCAGGCGGUUUUGUAAGACAGGUGUGAAAUCCCCGGGCUUAACCGGGGAACUGCACUUGUGACUGCAAGGCUGGAGUACGGCAGAGGGGGAUGGAAUUCCGCGUGUAGCAGUAAAAUGCGUAGAUAUUGGGAGGAACACCGGUGGCGAAGGCGGCUCUCUGGACUAAUACUGACGCUGAGGCGCGAAAGCUAGGGGAGCAAACGGGAUUAGAUCCCCGGGUAGU
rnacentral:rRNA from 1 species